UUUAAAUCUGAGAAGCAGUCUGUCAAAUUGUAACUCUGAUUCCAAGCAGGAAAAUAUCUCUGUGGUGGAAGGGUUAAACUUUUAUUCAGAAAUGGAACAGUUGAAACAAAAGCUGAAACUCAUUGAGAAUCCUUUGUUGAGGUAUGUGUUUGGUUAUCAGAAGAAUUCUAAUAUCCAAGCAAAGGGUGUCCGUCCCAGCGGUCAGAAGGUCACUCACGUGAUCUCCUCCACUAUGAUGGCUGGUCUCCUGCGGUCCCUGCUCAUGGACGGGCUUUGCCAGGAGCCCGGUGAGGAAGGAAGAGAAAUUCAGUUCCGUAGUGAUCCACUGUCUACUAUAAAUGCCUGCUUCGAAGGUGACACUGUUAUUGUUUGUCCUGGCCAUUAUGUGGUACAUGGCACUUUCUCCAUUGCUGACUCCAUUGAGUUGGAAGGUGAGUGUGGAAGACACACAGCCAAACUCUCACACCUGAAAUGUUCAAGUAAACAAUAAAUCAC
rnacentral:lncRNA from 1 species